CUUGUUGGUGAGGUAACGGCUCACCAAGGCGAUGAUCGAUAGCUGGUCUGAGAGGAUGAUCAGCCACAUUGGGACUGAGACACGGCCCAAACUCCUACGGGAGGCAGCAGUGGGGAAUAUUGGACAAUGGGCGCAAGCCUGAUCCAGCCAUGCCGCGUGAGUGAUGACGGCCUUAGGGUUGUAAAGCUCUUUCGCUCGGGACGAUAAUGACGGUACCGAGAUAAGAAGCCCCGGCUAACUUCGUGCCAGCAGCCGCGGUAAUACGAAGGGGGCUAGCGUUGUUCGGAAUUACUGGGCGUAAAGCGCGUGUAGGCGGGUCUUUAAGUCAGGGGUGAAAUGCCAAGGCUCAACCUUGGAACUGCCUUUGAUACUGGAGAUCUUGAGUCCGGGAGAGGUGAGUGGAAUUGCGAGUGUAGAGGUGAAAUUCGUAGAUAUUCGCAAGAACACCAGUGGCGAAGGCGGCUCACUGGCCCGGAACUGACGCUGAGACGCGAAAGCGUGGGGAGCAAACAGGAUUAGAUACCCUGGUAGUCCACGCUGUAAACGAUGGAUGCUAGCCGUUGGGGAGCUUGCUCUUCAGUGGCGCAGCUAACGCUUUAAGCAUCCCGCCUGGGGAGUACGGUCGCAAGAUUAAAACUCAAAGGAAUUGACG
rnacentral:rRNA from 1 species